rnacentral:rRNA from 1 species
CGGAGGAAAAGAAACCAACAGGGAUUGCCCCAGUAACGGCGAGUGAAGCGGCAACAGCUCAAAUUUGAAAUCUGGCUCUCGGGCCCGAGUUGUAAUUUGUAGAGGAUGCUUUUGGUGAGGUGCCUUCCGAGUUCCCUGGAACGGGACGCCAUAGAGGGUGAGAGCCCCGUCUGGUUGGACACCGAUCCUCUGUAAAGCUCCUUCGACGAGUCGAGUAGUUUGGGAAUGCUGCUCUAAAUGGGAGGUAUAUGUCUUCUAAAGCUAAAUACCGGCCAGAGACCGAUAGCGCACAAGUAGAGUGAUCGAAAGAUGAAAAGAACUUUGAAAAGAGAGUUAAAAAGUACGUGAAAUUGUUGAAAGGGAAGCGCUUGUGACCAGACUUGGGCUUGGUUGAUCAUCCGGGGUUCUCCCCGGUGCACUCUUCCGGCUCAGGCCAGCAUCAGUUCGCCCUGGGGGAUAAAGGCUUCGGGAAUGUGGCUCUCUCCGGGGAGUGUUAUAGCCCGCUGCGUAAUACCCUGUGGCGGACUGAGGUUCGCGC